AUAAACGGAAAUUCUCGUAUCCAUUGAGAAACGAUAGGCGAUUUGAAAGUGUCACUAUGAACGGUGAUUUAUCGAUGCAAGGAGGAGAGUCGUAUUUCGGAACGUCAUCGCAACAUAUUAUACCUUGUAUGUGAUUAUUUGGAACACAAUGGGUGAGUAUAUUAUAAUUAAAAUAUAUUCCUAGUUCCAAUUCUCUUGAAUAGUGUCAGUGACCAAUCGAAAUAGAAAUCAGUGGACAUCGUGGAAAGAGAAGGCGAAACCAAAUUUGAAAAUUCGACAUCGGUAAUUCAGUAGUUAAGAAUAACUCAAUCGAUAAUGUAGAUUAACUAGUUAUAAACAAAUAUAUGAAAUAUAAAUUCAAAUUAUUCUUAUCCAUCUAAAAAUUGGAAAUUAAAGAGCAGAAGACAAGAAAUUAUCUUCGAGGAUUUAUAUAGUAUAUAGACAUUAGCGAUGUAUUAUUCCGGGAAGCUCGUCUGUCUCCCGAACAUCGGGUCUGCGACAACAUCGAUUUGGAAAUUAUCGUUGCAGAGUAUGAAAAUUAUUACAAGAUGAAAUUUCAAAAAUAUCCCAUAUUGUGUAAGAAAAUAACUGGAAGGGAAAUGACGAGGGAAGUGACAAAUGCAAGCAAAACUGUUUGUAGAAGUAUUGAGACAAAAGCCAAAUCUUUUAGUAAACAAGCGAGAAGUGAGCCUGUGAAAGAGACGAAUCUACAGCAGAAGAUAACUGAUGACAAUACGAAUCAUAUUAAUCUCGCAAUGACAGUGACGUCAAUAUUCCCCAAUGAGAGUGAUGGACGUUCAUCAGAAGAGCUAUUUAACGUCCCAAUGGAACAAUCCAUGCAAUCGAAGAUAUUGAAAUGCAUUGAAAAGCUUUAUUCAGAUAAUACGGAAUUACGAAAGAUUGCUGAGGACGUCUCAUGCGAGAUCGUAGUAAACAAAUUAAAUGUACAUUGGGAUGACGUUAUAGGCCUAGAAGAAUGUAAAACCGCUGUUAAGGAGGCCGUUGUGUAUCCCCUUAAGUAUCCUAUCUCUUUUGAUGGCCCGUUUUCCCCAUGGAAAGGUAUUUUGCUGUACGGCCCACCUGAUACAGGUAAGAUACUCGUAUUCUUUUCAUUUCUGUACGUGUUUACAAGAAAUAUACAAAACAGGGAAAACGAAGUUAGCGAAGGCAGUCGCGACAGAAUGCCAUUGCACCUUUUUUAACAUAACUGCCAGCUGAUUGGUCAGCAAAUGGAGAGGCGAUUCCGAGAAGUAUAUACGUGUUUUAUUUGAACUUGCCUAUAGUCAUUCGCCUACAAUUAUUUUUAUCGACGAGAUUGACUGGAUCGCCACAAAUAAAGGAGACUGUAUAUUGUCUGAACCUGCAAAGAGAUUCAGAUCAGAACUUCUUUCUAGAUUGGAUGGAUUAGUGUCUAAUGAGAAUUCUAAUGUAGUUCUUCUGGCUACAACUAAUUCCCCUUGGGGCAUUGAUGCAGCUUUACUCAGGCGUCUCGAAAAGCAAAUAUACGUAUCAUUACCCAAUGAAGUUGCUCGACUUGGUAUAUUCAAAUUAUACCUUAGCAACCACUUAUUAGAAAAUACAGAUAUUGUAAACCACAUAGUAAAAUGUACUGAAAGAUAUUCUUGUGCAGAUAUAAAAUUGCUUUGUAAGCAAGCGUGGCUACUAGAAAUAAGCCCGAUAUGGAGGAGACUUGAAAAGAAAGAAACACCUGUUACCACUUUGAAAUAUGAAUUAAAAAGUUAUGAAAUAUUAGCAAAAUUGUUAAAAAAAAUGUCACCUACAGUUAUGCAAAUAGAUAAAUAUGAUACGCGGAACAAAUAAAUACGCAAUCGUAAUGACAGAUAUUGAAAAAUAUAAAUAAAUGGAUUAUCGUUCGAGAAAUCAUUCGCAUGUGUGUGCAUGUGUGUAUGCGCGCAUGUGUAUGCGCGCAUGUGUGUGCGCGCAUGUGUGUCGUGUGUGUCAUGUGUGUGUGCGUGUGUGUGCGCGCACACGCUAUAGGCUAAGUUUAAAAUGUUCGGUUGUAUUAUAUCCUUGUAUUAUAUAUGUCGGAGAUGAAAGGAAAACCGGAGCCUUCCCUUUGCAAUUUUGAGGAAGCCUUCUAAUGCUUUAGCCUAGAUUUUAUCAUAACUGUAAUUAAGCAAUUGUCAUUUGUAAUUGUUUGAUAUUUGUGAAAGCGAAAGUGAGUUCGAGGUGACAACUGGUCGCCGAACGUAGCCACGGUCACGGGAUAAACGUUUUGCCUGACGAAGGUGUGGAUCGGUUGUAUUGUUCUCCCUAGAAAUCGCAUAGAAUUGUACUUUAGAGAUGUCGAUAUAAUGGGACACACGUUGUAUUAGGAAUCAAUCUCCAGACAGAAACUGCCUAGUAACGGCGUUUGAAUCUUUCUCGAUGUUUCCAAAGAGUAUACAACAAACUUUUGACAGAAAUUGCCUAGCAACAACGAUUGGAACCUUCUCGAUGUUUCCAGCGAGCAUAUAACAAACAAAUGCAGUCGGAUAGCGAAAAAGAUUUUCAUCAGAUAUUCAUUCGUGUGAUCGCCUUGGAAAGUGAUACAUCGAGCAAUUUACCGAGUGUCUCAGCAAUUGUAUUCUGUGUUUAAAAUUAUUCUACACAUAGUAAAGAGUUAUCCCGUUGACCGUGGAUUCGUUUGAACCCCGGAACAUUGUUAAUAGCGUUAAUUAAAUUCAUUAUUCGUGAAACCUAUCGAUCGUUAAUCUCAUUAUACGUUAAAUUCAUUAUUCGUAAGACAUAUUAUUCGUUCCUCUUAUUGUUCGUUAAACUUAUUAAUCUUUAAUCUAAUUAUUAGUUAAACUUAUCGUUUGUUAAUCUUAUUAUUUAUUAAACUCAUUAUUCAUAAUAUUUUGUAAAAUCUUGUUUAUUCGCGUAAAUAUAUUCUCUGUUUCGUAAAACAAUGGCUAAUUCAAACGAAGGAUCAUUACGCGCCUUAAAUCCUAAUGAUAACCCGACAUAUAUAUGUGAGUGUAUUUUAUCAAAAAUAUGUUUUUUAGUUUUUCUUAUCUUAGUAAUUAUUUUUAAAAAAAUAAAGUCUUAUAUGAAAAUAAA